AGAGUUUGAUCAUGGCUCAGGAUAAACGCUGGCGGCGUGCCUCAGACAUGCAAGUCGAACGCGAAAGUCCCCUUCGGGGGACAAGUAGAGUGGCGUCCGGGUGAGUAACACGUAGGUAAUCUACCUUCGGGUGGGGAAUAACGCAGGGAAACUUGCGCUAAUACCGCAUAAUGCAGCGGCACCACAUGGUGACAGUUGUUAAAGCGGGGGAUUUUCGGACCUCGCGCCUGAAGAGGAGCCUGCGGCAGAUUAGCUAGUUGGUAGGGUAACGGCUUACCAAGGCGACGAUCUGUAGCCGGCCUGAGAGGGCGGUCGGCCACACUGACACUGACAUACGGGUCAGACUCCUACGGGAGGCAGCAGUCGGGAAUUUUGGGCAAUGGGCGAAAGCCUGACCCAGCAACGCCGCGUGAAGGAUGAAAUCCUUCGGGAUGUAAACUUCGCAAGAAUGGGAAGAAUUAGUAGGGGACAAUACCCCCUAUGAUGACGGUACCAUUUGUAAGCUCCGGCUAACUCCGUGCCAGCAGCCGCGGUAAUACGGGGGGAGCAAGCGUUGUUCGGAUUUACUGGGCGUAAAGGGCGCGUAGGCGGCCAGCGCAAGUCAGUUGUGAAAUCUCCGGGCUUAACUCGGAAAGGUCAACUGAUACUGCGCGGCUAGAGUGCAGAAGGGGCAACUGGAAUUCUCGGUGUAGCGGUGAAAUGCGUAGAUAUCGAGAGGAACACCUGCGGCGAAGGCGGGUUGCUGGGCUGACACUGACGCUGAUGCGCGAAAGCCAGGGGAGCGAACGGGAUUAGAUACCCUAGUAGUCC
rnacentral:rRNA from 1 species